rfam:Schistosoma haematobium scaffold210_23, whole genome shotgun sequence.
AUCCAUCUGACGAGUCUCAAAUAGGAAGGGACGCUCGUCCUGGAU